CCUACGGGUGGCAGCAGUGAGGAAUAUUGGUCAAUGGGCGCGAGCCUGAACCAGCCAAGUAGCGUGAAGGAUGACUGCCCUACGGGUUGUAAACUUCUUUUAUAAAGGAAUAAAGUGAGGCACGUGUGCCUUUUUGUAUGUACUUUAUGAAUAAGGAUCGGCUAACUCCGUGCCAGCAGCCGCGGUAAUACGGAGGAUCCGAGCGUUAUCCGGCUUUCUUGGGGUUAAAGGGAGCGUAGAGGGGUUGUUAAGUCCGUUGUGAAAGUUUGCGGCUCAACCGUAAAAUUGCAAUUGUUACUGGCAGCCUUGAGUACAGUUGAGGUAGGCGGCAUUCGUGGUGUAGCGGUGAAAUGCUUCGCUCUCACG
rnacentral:rRNA from 1 species